ensembl:lncRNA
CUGCUUGCUGUUCCACAAGGAAAUGGACAAUAUUCCGCCAGGCAAGGAUGUCAUCAGCGACUCAGAUCUCAUAGUACUUGAACGAGAAAGGUGCAGGCCCCACGAGGAAUGUACGAAUAGAAAACCAUCCCAGGUAGAAUCAAGGGGGCUCUCUGACACCUGCAUCGGUAGGACACAAUUCCCACUGAGGGACGCUGGCUCAUCCCAGAACAUCCGGGGAUGCAGGGAGGGAAAUGGCACCCGCCCACGUAUCACAGCUCGGCAUCGAGCAGCCACAAUCGGGACGCGGGGCUCUGGCCCCGGGGUCAGUGCACAGACGUGAGCAACAGAGAGAGUCCACGCGGAACCCCUCCUGCCCGGAAUCCCGGCCACCGUGGGAUCUUUAUUCCACAGAGAGGGAAGGGUUGAUGGUGUUGGCACGAAGCCGAGAGGCCAACCACCCGGGAUGAAGACAGCAUUCUCCCCUCAGGGUUCUAAUAAAUUCGGGGUAGCUCAACGUCUAAACGUAAACCACAGGAAGUUUAGAAGAAAAUUCGGAGGGGCACUCGUGUGAGUUUGGAGGAAGCAGCCGGAAGCCGGGUUCUGGAAUCUAGACGCGUUUCACGGCUCAGAGCUUCACGAGGGUGGACGCCCGGCACGUCUGUCCAGGGGCCCAGAGGACAAGCUGGGGCCCAGGUCGAUCUGUUUGUCACACGCCUGGCCAUGGAGAGUGAGCGUCCACACGGACGAGGCGUUCCGGCAGACGGACGGGCCUCCUCCCGACAGCGGGACGGGACUGAACAGCGUGAGCGGGAAACAGGCAGUUGGGAGGAGAGGAACCCCGCGGGCCGCACAGACUCUUGCUUGUUUUAUAAAGAUUCCGAAGAAUUCUGCUCUUGGCUGCGUCCCUCUUGCCCCUGUUGGAAGGGCGACAUCCAAACCCGUCAGGGAGGAUGCGGGACAACGGAUGUCCCGACGGUGGCGGCCAAGACGGGAGCUGUAGCGACGCCGGUGGGAAGCAAUCGGGACACGGCUGAAUAUUCAGGAGGCGUGUUCCCUGUGACCCAGAAUCCGCCUUCGGAGCCUUUCCUUCAGAAUAAAGGACAUCAGGUUAACGGCAGUCCUGUCAUCCCGGCUGUUUGGCGAGUGAGCUGAGGCACUAAGUCCCGGGUGGGCCCACGAUGCUGCUCUAUGAUGCGAAGCCCCAUCCUCUUGGCCGCCGAGGGCCGGUCUCCCACCCUGUCCCUAUCUUCUGUCCACAUGCUGCCGGAGGGG